CCCCACGGGUUCAUCAUGCAUCCUAGGUGGGCGUUAACUCGCAAUGUCAUCCUGGUCCUUACGGCCCCGUUUCCCCAUCAUCUGUGAGAUGAAAUGAUGGUCAGGAAAACAGGCAGCAGAGCUCCGACCGGCAGCAGAUCUCUCCUUGGAGACUUGCCAGAACCAACCAGAUGCACAUCUAACCAAGCCCCCAUCUCAAGUAUUCACUGCCAUCUCCUCCAAACACUUUUCGGAGAAUGUGGGAAGAUGAACAAAGUCAUGCACCCUAGUGAGAAGACAGAACUCCUUUGUGCGGGGACGGAAAUGCUCGUCUACUCCAGGUGUCCUCCUCCAUUUCCCCACCUCCCCUGUGUUUAGAUUGGGGCCAUAGACUGGCCAAUGCACUGUGAAUGGAAGUGAUGCGGUCCCUUUCGUCUAAGGCAGUCAGGAAGAGUUGUGAGUUCUCUCUACCGUCACUGGGAGUUGAAGGAAAAAUCUGAGAUGGCGGAGUUGCAAGAUGGAAGCUGCCUGGAUCCUUGGAGCCGCUAAGGAGAGCUGCCCGAUUUGCAAUACCUAGUUCAGUUUUCAACGUGUCAUAUCUUAAGGGGAAUGCUUGUUGGGGAACAGCCCUCCCUUGAGACACUUGCACUGGUCUGUGCUGGGCCUGUCAGCAGACAGGGUUGGCCUCAGUCAACAGUAUUGGCUGGUCCUUCUGCACUUGGAAAAGAGACUCAGUCUGCCUGAGUCUCUUUCUCGGACGUGA